ACCAAGCAAGGGAGACAGACACAGAAAGAGAGAGAGAUCUGGAGAGAGCAAGAUAGACGGAGCGAGACAGACACAGAAAGAGAGAGAGAUCUGGAGAGAGCAAGAUAGACGGAGGGAGACAGACACAGAAGGAGAGAGAGAUCUGGAGAGAGCAAGAUAGACGGAGCGAGACAGACUUUCCUACAAACAACCGGCGAGGCCAUGUUAAAAAUAACUCUUGGAACACAACUCUAAACUGAGUGUAGGAGUCUCUGAUCACAUCUUUAACCAUAUUUCCUUUGAAUUUCACACUGAUGGAAACUUCUUUGUACCUCACCCUCCUAAUCUCAGGAAAACAAGACACCAACCCAUACGUCUUAAUUCAGGAAAACAGGCCUGGAUAGAUGCUCAGUGUUACUGCAGAGAGUAUCAC